CACAAUUACUAACUGCGACUUUAUAUAGUACGGCGAGUGAACGGAAAUUAGCCCAGCACCGAAGCCUAUGCAAGUUUAUGGACAGGGCAAUGUGGUGUUAAAGUAUUAACCUGGACACGCUAGUCUACUCGAAGUCCAACUCCGAUUACGGCUUUGGAUUUGUGCCUUAGAGGGUGAAAGACCCGUUCGUGUAGACGUUACUGUUUUUAGUGUGUCUCAAAUGUUGUUACUUUGGAGUCGGAUUGCUUGAGAAUGCAGUCCAAAGUGGGUGGUAAACUCCAUCCAAGGCUAAAUACUGGCACGAGUCCGAUAGUAGACAAGUACCGUGAGGGAAAGUUGAAAAGUACUCUGAAGAGAGAGUAAAUAGUACGUGAAGCUGCCUGCAUGGAAGCUGGUGGAGUCAAGCUUCUUAGGUUUGGUAUUGGUACGGAGAAUUUUAUUGUUUAUGGGCUAAUGGUGUAUCAGCUUGAAAAUGGCUGGAUGGGUUUACCUAUCUCAGGCGUUCCGGGUUGUACGCUUGUUGUGCAUUUAAAAUUUUGCCCUUUCUCUUGUACUGUUUCCUAACCUUAACAUCACAGUCAAUGUAUAUUAUAUUGUUUGAUAGUCUAACUGUGGCCGUUGUGAAUCUCGUUUCACUGGCCAUGGAAUGGCGGUAUAAAUAUGAUGACUUCUGUUAUCAUGUUUCUUAUAUUGGUGUUAAAGCCUUGCUGAUUAUCAUUUGUAUUAUAUAAUUAAUUAUAUGCAUUGUUCUUAUAUCAUUUGCAACCGUAAAGUUGUUUUGAUGAGAGCUGUG
rnacentral:rRNA from 1 species